AGGGACCAUUUCAGUAGAGCCUUUUAAGACACAUGUUUUGGAAUACAGUCAAAUGCGUGCUGCUGUAUGACCAGCCUAUUUGGAACUACUUAAGCAUCAACUAAUUAAUCUGCAAGUGAAGAAUACUUCCAGCAUUACUCUAUAAUUAGACAAUCUCAGGAGGAAACAAGAGGAUUUCAAAGGGGAGUCAGAUGGUUUCGCAGACCGCUACAUCAUUUAUUUUUUCAUCACUCAGGAUUAUGCCUCCAAAUCCUACAGAAGUAUAACAACCAUAGAACAGACAAACACCAACAGCAUCAACAACAGAGAAACUCAGUCCAGGAGGAUAUGAAACCCUUUGUAAUAAAGAAAGCAACAUCCAUGAAC
rnacentral:lncRNA from 1 species